rnacentral:misc_RNA from 1 species
AAAAAAAGAAAGAAAGCAACGGAAACAUUUUCUCAAUAUACCUGAAGGAGGAAGGAGAAAAGAAAAAUGCACAGGUGAAUCUCUGUUCCGUAUUUCUAUAUUUGAAAUCCAUAUGCAAUUACUAGUUUGGAUUAAAUUCACCAAAUCUAUGCUUUUCUUCAUGCAACUGUCUGAAGACGUAAUCCAGUUCUGGAAAUGCAGACAAAAGCAGCAGCUCGAGAAGAUCAAAAGCCAGUUGCUUUAAACAGACUGAUGACUGAAGAAAGAAAUAAAGAUCUUUAGCACAUUGUUCAUACUCCUUCCGACCAACAAGACUUACAAUGGCAGCUGGUGCAUUAUCAAUCAUCAGCUCAUAUACAAAUUUAGCACGUCGGUCUGCUUCAUGUUUUAGUUGCUCAUCACUUAGUCUAGGUGAAGAUAUUUCUGUGUGUUGCCGACCUAGAGGUGAACUUAGUUUAGGUGAAGACUCAUUGAUGGGUUGCUGGCCAUGAGGUGAGCUAUGGGAUGAGUUGGAGGUGGAUGGUGGCCGUCUCUUUGGAUGUUUGGUAAUGAAUAUCCCAUCAGGCCAAAGUAUCUGUUCCACCCGCUUGAUCCCUGAAGCAACCACUGAACCAGUACGCAGAAGCUGGAUUUUCUCUAUCAACCAAUCAUCUAAGGCAUCACCCAUUCCUAGUUGUAGAAUCUGUUUGGCCACCCAGAAAGCUUUCCUCCUGUAUUGCACAGAAAAUUAGUGUUUAGCAGCUCGUCCAUCAUUGGACCUGAUUUGGUUCAUACGAUAGUCAACAAUUAAUCAAAGAGAAAAUAUCACAUUUACAAGAACACAUUCUUAUAUACGGAGUACCUUAUCCAUCCACCAUCUUGUAGCAAGAAAAUGACAUCUACCAAGUCUAAUAUAGGGGCAGUUAUAUUUGGCGGUACCCACUCUGUAGGAAGGGUAAGAUCACUAGCAGUAUCAUGAAUCAACUCAGAUGUCUGCCCUAAACCAUCAGUCUGUCUUCCUUUUACAAUCUUCCCGAAAUUACUAACAGACACAUUUUUUUGAGUAUCUGAAUCACUGCCUGAAUCCUUUAAUGACUUUCCAUGUUCUUUACCAAGCUUUUUACCCGGAGAAUGAGAUGUGUAUUUUGGACUCAUCUUUACCCCAUCUGUGACAACAUUAUGUUUUGUCUGUAAUGAAGAAUCCUUGUUGUCCGUGCCUAACUGUUCCCUCUUUGCGGAUAUAGAAUUGAUUACAGGUCCAACAAAAUUUGAAACCACCUUAUUCUUUUCAGAUGGCUUGCCAUCAAGGUCAACUGACAAUGUCUCAACGAUGGAAAAGGAAUUUGAGAAAUAAUAUGUCUGAGAAUCAACACUAAGAAAGUCCCAAACUUCAAUAGAUCCUGAAAUUGUAGGAAGUUGCAAGAGCUUCUGAGAAACAAAGACAUGAAAAGGUUAUUAAAACUCUUAGUUAGGUGCACUCAUACCUAGUGAUCAUAGAAUACUCACAUGCCCAAUCCAGUACAGCACACAAGCCAAAGUCAAAUUAUUUAACUAAACCUUAAUAAUAAACGUGCUUCAAUGAGCAUAUUUUCUGCAGAAUUGGGUAUUGCUACUACUCCAGUCAACAGUCAACACCACAUGAAACUGUUACAACUUACAUGUGACAUUGCAUCAGGAAAUUAACCAAAUAAGAAUUCAGGGAUGAAACCUGAGGUAUUCUGAAUUUCUAGCAUAUCUUGGAGCUAAAAUUUACAUCUAAUUCCAUCAAUAAAAGCAGGUAAAAUUAAAUGGUUAACCUUGAGAUAUAUAUCGAGCAAUUUACACCGUUCUUGAAUGACAGGCAUAUCUAAACCUGUUGACAAAAAAUGCUUUGGUGGCAAAUGAAGAUUAUACUCUGGAUACUCUUUUAGACGCCGGUGCAACUCCUCAAAAUGUCGAAACCUUCUUUUGAUUGACCAACUAUUAUUAUUUACAUCUGUAACAGAAAUGGAAUACACAGCAAAUGUUCUAGAGGCACUCUUCACAAUAUUUGCACCCAACACCUCACAUCUCAACUUAAAAAAUGAAUCCACCAUCAAUGAAUUUUUCAAGGAAUUAACAGCUGAACCAUGAUUUUCAGAUAUAGAAGCAGAAGGUGUAGAUGAACAAGCAGUUGCUUCACCGUAAGCUCUAUCUAAACCUUCAACCUCAGAAUCAUCACUAGAUUCAUCACCUUUAGUAUGUCCUUUUGAACUCAGUAUAUCCUGUCCAUCCCCACACAAGAAGCUUGUCCUCUCAAUCUCUUGCCAAACAUGCACCUUCUGAGUGUUUGAUCUCGACCUCUUCCUGCCAGUCUCUGUUCUAGAUAAUCUUUCAUAAGGAGCCUGUCCUCUACUAGUCUUCUUUGUAGCAUGGCGUCCAAGGUUUUCAAGUGGAUGAUGAAUGGGGGAAACAGCCAAAUUUCUAUUUGUUUUACGAUCCCAAACUUUAGUUCCUGGAUCAUCAAGGCCUGUGAUACUGCUUGGAUCUUCCUCUUCAGAUGUAUAAGGACUAACACUUCCUGAUUCAUCCUCAUUCACAUGCAUAAGGCCUUGCUCAUCAUUUUCAUGAUGUGAAGUAUAUAAAGAAUGAUUUGACAAGUUCUGAUCAUGGUAUGAGUUUUGUACUGUAGACUGAUUAGAAUGCAGAGAGGAAUCAAGUAUGGUCACCCCAUGCUUUUCCUUGAGUUUAGGCAUCUUUGAUUGGUCCCCUGUAGCGGACUUAUUCACAGAAGAAUUUUGUGGUACUUGCUCAAUUACCCGACCUUUACCUUCUUUCUUUUGGUAGUUUCUUCCUUUUGUCCACAUAUUGUCAAAAUUUUCAGGUGCAAGGGCUGCAGUCUUUCUGCGAGAAAAUCUGUCCAACAUAUCACCCCAUUCUCCUCCAGAACGAUACCGCUGAAGCCCUCCUUCAUCCUUAAUUUGGGAAUUCAAAGGUAGUGAACUCCAUGAACGGGAAGAUCGAGUAUCAAUAGAAAGCAAAGGAUCUUUCGAGAUAUGGGUUCCAUUCACAUUAUCUGACUCAGGUGCAACUGCUCGACUUUUGGAUUGAUCAGUUUUUAACUGCACAAGUUCAACACCAGUACCAGUAGGAUCUAGAAAUCUGGAAAAUUGAUCAGAUGAGAUCUUUGAAGAUCCAUUGGGUUUGGAUUGUGAUGCCUCUUGUGCUGCAGCAACUCCUUUAUUAGCCUUAGAAAUGACCAAAUUUUCAAUCCUUUCAUUUAUAAACCUUGGACUAGCUAAGUUUAAGACUGGUCGCAUUACUGCACAAGCAAGAAGUUCCCUCACUAUAUAACGGAAAAAAGAGCACUUUAGAUCUUCUGCAUUGAAUGUGAAAGAAAUGAGACCAUCCAUCAGAUGCUGCAAAACCUUGUGCUCUGCUUCAGCAGAAAAUAAAGCAGGGUGCAAUCUGUUCUCAGCAGCCAGGACACGUCGCAGUUCCUUGUCUCGCUGUUCAAUAGACACCAAUCCAGACAGAUGCUUUUCAAUUUUUGCUUGACUAGCUCGAAAAAGCUCUAAGUGAACGCAGAUGACAUUAAUAAGAUCCCUAGUCAAUAGAUCAAUAAGAUUUAUAUUUCUCAUGCGAGUUGAAAAUUCCCCAAGAACACCAUUCACUAUCCGCACCAGUUCCUCUGGACCUUCUCUAUCAGGUGUUAGACGAGAGUACCAUAGAUCUGUCACCCAUUCAGAGACUAAAUGUCUAGUGAAGUGAUCAAUUGCAUCCUCAACAACAGGGGAAUUCACUUUUCUUCUCCAGUCAGACUUUUCAAGAACCCUAGUAUGUUCAGGAUUGUUGUUUUGGGACAACACAUUUGCCGCAGAAUAUUUGCUGUUGUAUACAGCAGCUUUCCUCCGCAUUUCAUAAUCUAGGGAGAAGUAACGGAGGAGAAUUAUUAAGGAGGCAGCAGCAGGCAAGUUGACCCAAACUGAGGAGCUUGUCAAUGACAUUAAAUAAGAUAAUCCAACAACGCAAAUAACCAAAAACACAAUCCUCUUCUUUGCUUCCUCCACUAGGUCUCUAACUGCCACCUCCCUUUGCGUGCUCAUUUUCGCAUUCACUGAGCUAAACAAAAUCUAUUCGAUUCUUCCCAAAACAAACCCCAACAAAAAAUAUUAACAAAUCAUAAUCCAAAUCUGAACACAGCUCUACGAGCGAUCGCCAUAAAAAUGAUCUUAAAAACCAGAUCAAUGAACGUGAAGCAAACAAAAGAAUUAGGGUAAAAUUGGGAAGAGCAGAAAGGGAAAUCGAUAGUCGGAUAGAGAUAAAACGUGGAGAAUCGGAUAAAAGAACUGAACAAUUGAGGGAGGAUGAGAAUUAGAAUUCAACGCGAGGACCGUUAGGUUUUUUUUGCUGUUGGCGUGCGUACUAGAGAGAGUCUACAUUUCUAAAACUUCUUAAUUUUCUCCUCUCUCUCUAAGAGCCUCUGUGUCACUUUCUGGCUUUCUU